AAUAUUUUUGUUAUCUGGCCGUGGUACUAAAGUCCAUGUUUUAUUUAAAAAUAGAGAAUUUAAUUGCACCUUCCCAAUGAACUCUAUCGUCUCGUGUUUUAAUCUCUUGAAACGAAUUUGGUAUUUUACACAAAAUUGAACUAGCACACAUAAGGUUAUCAUCGAUUUCUUUAUAAGAAAUAGGGGGACGACUUUAAGCCUAUCACUCCUACGUGGUUCAAUACAACUGGUUGUGUCCUCAUUAUUUACGACCACUGAAAGAUCAUCAGAAUGUGCAUUUGGUUGUUCAAAUUCGACGAUGUCAUGGUUAGUUUUGCGAAUUUUCUGAGGAACUUCAUAAUCAUCAGAUUUACAGGUAUCUGAUUUAUAUCUGUCAGUUUUUUGAGACUUUAUUGACUUUGAAAUGUUGUCAAUGUUAACAUUAUCAUGAGAAUUUACUAUAUUCUCUUCAGGUCGCAACGCAGGCCUGGAUUGAAGUAAUUUGUCUCAUCUACUAUGACAUCUCUGACAGUAAUAAAUUUUUCGCAUUUAGGAUUCCAAACUUUAUAACCGUUUGCUUAAUAUCGUACAGGUCUACUGAGAAAUCACUGGAUGGUUGUUAAUAGUGCUUACUCAAAUAUACCUUAUUCAUUAACACCAUUUCUCUGACUGACCAGAGAUAUGAUGAAGUACACAUUAAGAAUAGGAAUACUAUAGAGAGAUAUACCGGCAGAAGUUUUAGUUCCAACACUUGAUACAGUUUCAAGUCAAGAAGUUAAUG